GACGAACGCUGGCGGCGUGCCUAAUACAUGCAAGUUGAGCGCUGAAGGUUGGUACUUGUACCAACUGGAUGAGCAGCGAACGGGUGAGUAACGCGUGGGGAAUCUGCCUUUGAGCGGGGGACAACAUUUGGAAACGAAUGCUAAUACCGCAUAAAAACUUUAAACACAAGUUUUAAGUUUGAAAGAUGCAAUUGCAUCACUCAAAGAUGAUCCCGCGUUGUAUUAGCUAGUUGGUGAGGUAAAGGCUCACCAAGGCGAUGAUACAUAGCCGACCUGAGAGGGUGAUCGGCCACAAUGGGACUGAGACACGGCCCAAACUCCUACGGGAGGCAGCAGGAGGGAAACUUCGGCAAUGGACGAAAGUCUGACCGAGCAACGCCGCGUGAGUGAAGAAGGGUUUCGGAUCGUAAAACUCUGUUGGUAGAGAAGAACGUUGGUGAGAGUGGAAAGCUCAUCAAGUGACGGUAACUACCCAGAAAGGGACGGCUAACUACGUG
rnacentral:rRNA from 1 species